UGUAUCCCCAAAGUUGUAACCCGGGACUCCUCGCACCUCAACCCCUAACAGUGUACAGGUCCCCAGUUCGGGCUCACCCUAGGCAGGAGCUUUCCGACAAGGCCUCACUACCCACGGCGUCGUCCGGAGGAAGUUCUCGAGGGCUACGAGGUCCAGUGAAUUCUUCCUCUGCUGUGCUGAGUGUGCUGGCCUGAAACCAAGGGUGUCGUUUCAUUCCCAACCUCCGGGCCGAUUCUGGGCACAGGAAACAGCGGCCUGAGAUCAGUUUUCAUCUUGGAAGCUACAGGUAAGGCUCUAAAUCAUUAAAUAAUUUAAGGAGAAUUUAUAUCUGUACACUAUUCUCUUCCCCU
rnacentral:lncRNA from 1 species